rnacentral:rRNA from 1 species
GACGGAGGAUGCAAGCGUUAUCCGGAAUGAUUGGGCGUAAAGCGUCUGCAGGUGGCAGUUCAAGUCUGCUGUCAAAGACCGGGGCUUAACUUCGGAAAGGCAGUGGAAACUGAACAGCUAGAGUAUGGUAGGGGCAGAGGGAAUUCCUGGUGUAGCGGUGAAAUGCGUAGAGAUCAGGAAGAACAUCGGUGGCGAAGGCGCUCUGCUGGACCAUAACUGACACUCAGGGACGAAAGCGAGGGGAGCGAAUGGG